CGAAGGGUAGUUUAAGGUAAAUAAAAUGUUAAUUUUGGAUAUUAAAGAUAUUUUUUUCUUUCGA
rnacentral:tRNA from 1 species